UAGACCCGGAAAGAAGACCGCCGGUAACGAUUAUGAAGCAGAGUCGCAUAGUAAUGGACCCGUGAACAAAUGUGAGGACGAGUAUUUCAAAAAAUCAAAGACUUACAUUCCUCUAAACAAGCAAAAUAAUCACUGGAUUACUGUCGUCAUGCAUAGCGG